UUACCAACUCAUUUUGGGUUCUUGGUUGUGGAGCAGAUGAAAACUCCACAAUUAAGCGUAUUCAAGUGGAAGUAGUACUAGGAUGGGUGACCUCCUAGAAAGUCUCCAUUCGGGCAAC
rnacentral:rRNA from 1 species